AGUAAUCUUAGCCUCAGAGGUGUGCA
rnacentral:piRNA from 1 species